CUUUAACACAGGGCCUUGGCUCACACCGAACAACAAGCUAUAAAGGGCCCCAUUUCAUUGUGAAAGAAACAUCAGAUUAUUCUGUACUCAGUUUUGACUUGUCUUUGUCAAUUUUCCCUGGCUUCCAAGAUGAAAUGAAUGGAUACAUUAUGUUAAACAUAACUAUUCUUCUUCUUUUUUGGAAUUUUAUUCUCAUACACACUUGUCCGGGUC
rnacentral:lncRNA from 1 species